GGUUCUCAGCCUGCAUCUCCCAGUGUGACGGAUCUAUGUCAGAUAUUAACAUAGAGUACUUAUGUCACUACGGUGGUACGGUGCGGCGUUGUGAUUG
rnacentral:pre_miRNA from 1 species